UGCAACUCAAAAGUGAAACUCAAAUGAAACCUAUUGUGCUUAUAAAAUGACAUACCCCAUCCCAUGCCAGCUUUAACAUAAAAUAUACCAUCUUUCCAGGCUAACUGGAAGGAUAGGGAACAUGGUGAUUGCAUUGACAGCUUUUGCAAAACAAAAACAGGACACAGCAUGUCUUGCUUUGUUUUGUGUCUGUGAGGCAGAUCUGACUCCAAGGCAGCCCUUGCACCAGUGAAUUUCUGUCUGUGGGACUGAAAUGACAUCACACAGUGGAGAUCUUCCUCCAAGGCAGGUCUCCCGCCCCAGGAUGAUGUUGUCUUUGAAAUCUAUUGCUUGUAUAAUGGGUAGGGUUUUGUGCACUACAACAGUUCAUUGAUUGUUUAUGAUAUUCCAUUGUAUGUUUAAUGAUUUGCAUUUCAAUGGACUGAAAUUCGAUUGUUGAUAUACAUUCAGUUUGUCAUAAUUUAUUGCACUGAAUGAUCACGUUGUUUAGUUUUUCUUUUUGUUGUUUUAAAAGUUGUAGGUGUUGACUAUGAGGAGCCAAGAAAGUACAUCAGCAGGUCAUUUUUAGAUUCUGUUGGACCACCCCAAACCACAUACAGAUGAACAGGAACCACCAGUCAGGUUUGUUAAUGAAAACAUUCAAUAAGAGAAGACCUGCGGUUCACAUGAACUCUCUCUCCCUUGACUUACAUCGGCAACAAGUGCUACAGUGCAAGUGUAAUUACAACAGUUGUGUUUUUUUGGUUUCUUUUUUAGAUUAGAUACAGUGCACAGUGAGUCCCCCACUUUAAGGCAGUUCCCCACUCCCUUGAUGGCGCAAAACUAAUCUGCCCACUGCAUUCCACAAGGGUGCCUAACAUUGACUUUCAUUGUAAAAAAAAUAAAUAACAAUGCAUGUAACUUGUUUGGACAGAUUUAUAUGGUACAGAUCAGCAUUUUGUUUAGGCUUGAUAUGAUCAUGUUCAUGUAAUGUUUUCAGUGAUGGUACAUCACCAUUAGAUUUUGUUUUGUUUUAUUCAAUCUGCAUAAAAUAGUUACAGAUGAUGGUGCUUUACAGAACAAUACAUCAGUGGUGGUAGCUCUCUGUUCUCCUGCAUUAGAGUAGCCUCAAGCCCUAUCAGUGCUGUGUGUAAUAGCUACCAACUUGAUCUAAAAAUGAGCUCUGAAUUGCAUCAUCCAGCCAUGAAAAAGCAUGGUGUCACCACAGGUCUGCAUCUACUGUAUCUUGCAAAACUUGACAGUGGACUGAGCAACACACAGCAACGGCACGAAUAACAAUACUGUGCCAAAGAAGACACAGCGUGAUCAGAUGGCAUGAAGUAUAACUGAAAUAUAAACACAAACGGGGGUUGGGCAAAGAUGAGAAACAUCAGUGAUACAUAGCGCAUGCUUUUAAAAGUUAAGCACCCCCCAAUUAAUUUCCAUUGCUAAAACUGUCACAGAAAAACACCGUAUCCAACACUGUGAUAAAGGUCUGAUAGUAGUUUGGUGAUUAUUUUGUCCUAUUUUGAGUGCUGUACCUUUAAGAAUAGCAAUGCCUCGUCCUGAGCACUGGAGAUUACGUCAAUUAGAGGAGACAAGAAGAGUUCAGAGUAGAGGGAUGACAUGUUGUCUUACUGCUACGCUCCUCAUUUACUUUAGCACUGUGACUACUUUAUGCUCAAACGCCUAUGUACACCAAGGGAGGGGAACUGAGUUAUGUGUAACUCCUAAGCUACAAUAAAGGUAACUAAGAAGUGGAUUCUUUCAUUUCUUUCUGCAUUUGAGACUGGAGGAACUUUUGGGACAUUUGUUCUGGGCCCUGAGGUUUUAGGGGCCCACACAAGAUCAAAGCAUUCUUUAACUCUGCCCUUAAUACCAUUUUGCACAUUUGCCCCCGUGUCAUAGGUAGAUAUAUUUUCUGUCUUUCUGAACCAUAUAUAUAUGAUUUUUUUUUUGUAUCUCAAACUUAGUAACUUGCCUUUUCAAUUGGCAACUCGGAUAUGCCUGGCUUGCUGUUUUGGUUGUUAGCUAAGUUAUCCUGCUCCCAGGAGUUAUUAUUAUUAUUAUUAUUAUUAUUUAUUUAUUUAUUAGCAGACGCCCUUAUCCAGGGCGACUUACAAUUGUAAGCAAAUACAUUUCAAGUGUUACAAUACAAGUAAUACAAUAAGAGUUCUCUUUGUAACUAUGUAUAAGUUCUAAUUGUUUGAGUUCAGUUCUUGUUUCCAUCAAAUAAAAGAUGUGGGAUUGCAUUGAAUUCUUCUGUCUUAGCCUACCUACGUACACUUCACUCGACUACCUCCACAAUUGGGCUAUAAA